rnacentral:rRNA from 1 species
GACGAACCGUGCGAACGUUAUUCGGAAUCACUGGGCUUAAAGCGCGUGUAGGCGGGACGGCACGUCGGUCGCUGAAAUCCCCCGGCUCAACCGGGGAACGGGCGCCGAUACGACCGCCCUGGAGGGACGUAGGGGGACCUGGAACUUCCGGUGGAGCGGUGAAAUGCGUUGAGAUCGGAAGGAACGCCCGUGGCGAAAGCGGCGUGCUGGACCUCUUCUGACGCUGAGGCGCGAAAGCUAGGGGAGCAAACGGG